GCAGCAGCUGCUAUAUACUCUGCCUCAGCAGUAGACUGAGCAACAACUUCCUGCUUCUUUGAAAUCCAAGAAAAUGGACCUGAUCCAAGAAAAAAUAGGUAACCAGAGGUGCUCUUCAUGUCCUCAGCAUUACCAGCCCAAUCACUAUCAACAUAUCCUUCAAGCUUUGCAUUUUCAUUCUUCAAAUACAAAACACUGUAAUCA
rnacentral:misc_RNA from 1 species